rnacentral:snRNA from 1 species
AGCUUUGUGCAGUGGCAGUAUCAUAGCCAGUGAGGUUUAUGUGAGGUGCGAUUAUUGCUAAUUGAAGAAAAUGGAAAGAUAUCCCUUGCUCUUGGGUAGGAAGAACCAAUAUAGUGAAAAUGGCCAUAACUG